rnacentral:lncRNA from 1 species
AACACUACACUCUUAAACUCACCGAGAUGUCUUUUACAAAUGACAACCGUAAUGGCCGACUCAGAUUGACAUUCACCUAGUCUUAUAUAGGAUGUGUCUCCUCUAAUCCAAAUUUGAUUGACAAUUAUAUUUGAAACUAAUCAAUUAGAGACCAAGAAAAACAUUCAAAAAAUAAAAAUAGAGAAAGGACAACGCUGCCUUAUAAUGAUUAUUAACAUUUAGGGUCUUGCUAACAUGUGCACUUAGGGCACAUGUUAAGAAUCCAAAAGUAGAAAUAUGGUCUUAAAUUUUGUGUAGUUAAUUUGUAAUCAAGUUUAAAAAAUGCAUUAGAUGCAUGAAUUAUGAUAAAACAUUUUCUUUUUUGAAUCACUAACAUUUGCCCUUAGGGCACGUGUUAGCUUUUCCCUAACAUUUAUAAUUCAUCAUGAUAUUUUCUCUCAACACCAGGUGCAAUAUCCUGCUGAUGUUUUACAAGAUAAUUAGCUGCUAAUGAUG